rnacentral:rRNA from 1 species
UACGGAGGGGGCUAGCGUUGUUCGGAAUCACUGGGCGUAAAGCGCGCGUAGGCGGGCUGGUCAGUUGAGGGUGAAAUCCCGGGGCUUAACCUCGGAACUGCCUUCAAUACUGCCAGUCUUGAGUUCGAGAGAGGUGAGUGGAAUUCCUAGUGUAGAGGUGAAAUUCGUAGAUAUUAGGAAGAACACCAGUGGCGAAGGCGGCUCACUGGCUCGAUACUGACGCUGAGGUGCGAAAGCGUGGGGAGCAAACAGG